UACGAAGGGUGCAAGCGUUAAUCGGAAUUACUGGGCGUAAAGCGUGCGUAGGCGGUUUCUUAAGUCUGCUGUGAAAGCCCCGGGCUCAACCUGGGAAUGGCGGUGGAUACUGAGAAGCUGGAGUACGGUAGAGGAAGGUGGAAUUCCCGGUGUAGCGGUGAAAUGCGUAGAGAUCGGGAGGAACAUCAGUGGCGAAGGCGGCCUUCUGGACCAGUACUGACGCUGAGGCACGAAAGCCAGGGGAGCAAACGGG
rnacentral:rRNA from 1 species